rnacentral:rRNA from 1 species
UACGAAGGGGGCUAGCGUUGUUCGGAAUUACUGGGCGUAAAGCGCACGUAGGCGGGUUUGUAAGUCGGGGGUGAAAUCCCAGAGCUCAACUCUGGAACUGCCUUCUAGACUGCAAGCCUGGAGGUCAGGAGAGGCGAGUGGAAUACCGAGUGUAGAGGUGAAAUUCGUAGAUAUUCGCAAGAACACCAGUGGCGAAGGCGGCUGACUGGUCCGGUCCUGACGCUGAGGCGCGAAAGCGUGGGGAGCAAACAGG